GAAGAUGACGCAUGGCAUCUUCUUUUCUCAUGGAUGAUCCACGAGCACUAUAAUUUGAUGCUGUUGUUGAUGCUCGUUGUGAAGAUGAACUACAAAUAACACAGAAUAGCAUGGUUACCAAGGGAGUAGAGACCAUCGGCACCAUUUCACAGACAUCUGGAUCAAUGGAGAAUGGAGUACUUGAUGAGGAGGUGAUUCUUAAAGCUGGGCAAAAUUUGAUCGCUCCUACCGUUGGAAUGACAUUUGAAUCUAAGGAACAAGCUUAUGAGAUGUA